CGGACGGGUGAGUAAUGUCUGGGAAACUGCCCGAUGGAGGGGGAUAACUACUGGAAACGGUAGCUAAUACCGCAUAAUGUCUGCGGACCAAAGCGGGGGACCUCCGGGCCUCGCGCCAUCAGAUGAACCCAUAUGGGAUUAGCUAGUAGGUGGGGUAACGGCUCACCUAGGCGACGAUCCCUAGCUGGUCUGAGAGGAUGACCAGCCACACUGGGACUGAGACACGGCCCAG
rnacentral:rRNA from 1 species